rnacentral:rRNA from 1 species
UACAGAGGGUGCAAGCGUUAAUCGGAAUUACUGGGCGUAAAGCGCACGUAGGCGGUUUUUUAAGUCAGAUGUGAAAGCCCCGGGCUCAACCUGGGAAUUGCAUUUGAAACUGGGAAACUAGAGUGUGUGAGAGGGGGGUAGAAUUCCAAGUGUAGCGGUGAAAUGCGUAGAGAUUUGGAGGAAUACCAGUGGCGAAGGCGGCCCCCUGGCAAAACACUGACGCUCAGGUGCGAAAGCGUGGGGAGCAAACAGG